UGAACGGCUUAAUGCAACAAAUGGCCUGCCCGUGAGCCACACCUGCUUUCUGAGCUCCGCAGGGGAGAUGGUUUCUUUUUUCUUGCUUUUCUUCUGUGGCCCCUCGAGGGCCUUGGGAUGGUUUUCCUCCUUCAGUUUGGACGGCAAGACUCCCUCUUUCAAAUUAUUUUAAAAAAAAUUUUCUACACAUUUCUCCAGUUCUUUGGGGAGCAUAUGGUUUCCAGAUAAUCUGGUGCCAGACAGCCUUCAGCAGGAAAACAUUUUGUGCUAACUGUUCUAUUUUGGUUUUGAGUCCUCUUCCUCUCCCCCCAGCAGACAUAAAUCGUAUGUAAAUCUCUGCCAGGAGGACAACCUCAUGAAACAGAAGCAGAAAGACAGCUGAGCAGCGGCUGGAAUGGGGUGUGCAUGGUGGACAGAGGAGCAAGAUUCAGAUGGUCUGGGAGCUGCACGUGGACUUCGAGGUUCUAGAAUCACUCUCUGGUGGAUAUUUGCUGUGGAUCCAGCGCUGGCUGAGGCAUUUGAGGGAAUCAAACAAAACGCAGAGCUGUGACCUUAAGGAAUAAAUAAUCUAGCACAAGAGACA
ensembl:lncRNA